rnacentral:rRNA from 1 species
GAGUUUGAUCACGGUUCAGAUUGAACGCUGGCGGAAUGCUUUACACAUGCAACCCGAACGGCAGCAUAGAGAGCUUGCUCUCUGAUGGCGAGUGGCGAACGGGUGAGUAAUAUAUCGGAACGUGCCUAGUAAUGGGGAAUAACUAGCUGAAAGGUUAGCUAAUGCCGCAUACGACCUACGGGUGAAAGCAGGGGAUCUUCGGACCUUGCGUUAUUAGAGCGGCCGAUAUCUGAUUAGCUUGUUGGUGGGGUAAUGGCCUACCAAGGCGACGAUCAGUAGCUGGUCUGAGAGGACGAUCAGCCACACUGGAACUGAGACACGGUCCAGACUCCUACGGGAGGCAGCAGUGGGGAAUUUUGGACAAUGGGGGCAACCCUGAUCCAGCCAUUCCGCGUGAGUGAAGAAGGCCUUCGGGUUGUAAAGCUCUUUCGCAAGAGAAGAAAACUUGCUAUCUAAUAAAUAGUAAGUAUGACGGUAUCUUGACAAGAAGCACCGGCUAACUACGUGCCAGCAGCCGCGGUAAUACGUAGGGUGCAAGCGUUAAUCGGAAUUACUGGGCGUAAAGCGUGCGCAGGCAGUUUUAUAAGUCAGAUGUGAAAUCCCCGAGCUCAACUUGGGAACUGCGUUUGAAACUGUAAGACUAGAGUGUGUCAGAGGGGGGUAGAAUUCCAAGUGUAGCAGUGAAAUGCGUAGAGAUUUGGAGGAAUACCAGUGGCGAAGGCGGCCUCCUGGAUCUGUACUGACACUGAGGUGCGAAAGCGUGGGUAGCGAACAGGAUUAGAUACCCUGGUAGUCCACGCCGUAAACGAUGACAACUAGCUGUUGGGAGACUAUGUCUUUCAGUGGCGCAGCUAACGCUUUAAGUUGUCCGCCUGGGGAGUACGGCCGCAAGGCUAAAACUCAAAUGAAUUGACGGGGACCCGCACAAGCGGUGGAGCAUGUGGUUUAAUUCGAUGCAACGCGAAAAACCUUACCUACUCUUGACAUACUUGGAGGCUCUUGUAAUGAGAGUGUGCCUUUUGGAACCAAGAUACAGGUGCUGCAUGGCUGUCGUCAGCUCGUGUCGUGAGAUGUUCCGUUAAGUCGGAUAACGAGCGCAACCCUUACCCUUAUUUGCCAGCGAUUCGGUCGGGAACUAUAAGGGGACUGCCGGUGAUAAACCGGAGGAAGGUGAGGACGACGUCAAGUCAUCAUGGCCCUUACGAGUAGGGCUACACACGUGCUACAAUGGGAGAUACAGACGGACGCUAAGCCGCGAGGUGGUGCUAAUCCUAAAAAGUCUUUCGUAGUCCGGAUUGGAGUCUGCAACUCGACUCCAUGAAGUCGGAAUCGCUAGUAAUCGCGGAUCAGCAUGCCGCGGUGAAUACGUUCUCGGGUCUUGUACACACCGCCCGUCACACCAUGGAAGUGGAUUGCACCAGAAGUAGAUAGUCUAACCUUAGGGAGGGCGUUUACCACGGUGUGCUUCAUGGCUGGGGUGAAGUCGUAACAAGGUAACC